GAAGGAUACGGUCGAUUCAAGAAGAACACAAAAAGUUCCAAGAGAAAUGGACAGACAAGUAUUUUUUUAUACUGCAUGAUGUGACUAGCUCACUUUGUCUUACUUGCCAGAAGGCUGUCAAUUGUUUUAAACAAGGAAAUUUAGAGUGACAUUUCCAGUCACACCAUGCCCACUCUGACAAAACAUAUCCGCCUCAAAGCAACCUCAGAAACAACAAAAUAGUGCAACUCAAAGGACAGCUCAAAGGACAACAACAAAUGAUGGACAGAUCACUGUUGCAGAAAAAACAACUGAGGCAACAUAUGAGAUUGCUUGGAUACUCGCGAGAAACAAGGUCUUCACAGACUUGGAGAUUGUCAAAGAAUGUUUUUUGGCCUCAGCCGAAAUAUUGUAUGCUGAUUUCACAAACAAGGAAGCUAUUUUAAAGCAAAUUAAGGUACUGCGACUCUCAGAGUCGACAAUAACAAGACAGAUAGAAUACAUCGGCGAGGACAUCCAUAAGCAACUGAUUACUGACAUAUCCGUGGCGCCGUGUUUUAGUAUUGCGCUUGACGAAAGCGCUGAUAACGUGAUGCAGCAAGUCGUGUGUGUGUGGUGAACAUUAUUGUUGCGAGGGCACUGAAUCACCGGCAAUUCCGCAAGUUGCUGGAGGAAUACCAGACAGAGUACGGCGACUUGAUAUUUCACAAUAAGGUGAGAUGGCUGUCUCGUGGCAGAGUUUUGGAAAGAUUUCUCUGUCCUCAAAUCUGUGAAUUUGUUCCAAGCAAGGGGAGAGAGGAGCCAGAGCUGGAUGAUCCACAGUGGAUAGUAAAGCUGACUUUUCUUACAGACAUCACCUGCCACCUGAACACGGUGAAUCUCCAGCUCCAAGGGAAAGCUAAAACUCUGGUCAAAAUGUUGCGUGUGGUCACAACAUUUCAAAGUAAAAUAACCUCACUGUUCAUACCUGACAGACAGUUUGUUCAUUUCCCAAAACUCAGAGCGGUCACCACAUCCAACCCAGACAUACUGCAACAUUUUAGCUAUGACGCAUUUGCAGUGGUGUAAAGUUUAAAGUAAAAAUACUUUAAAGUACUACAUAACUAGGAUUUUUUGGUAUCUGUACAUUACUUUACUAUUUAUAUUUUUGACAACUUUUACUUCGCUACAUUUCUAAAGAAAUGUAUGUACUUUUUACAUUUUCCCUGACACCCAAAAGUACUAGUUACAUUGUGAAUGCUUAGCAGGACAGAAAAUGGUUGAAUUCGCACAUUUAUCAAGAGAACAUCCCUGCUCAUCCUUACUGCCUCUGAUCUGGUGGACUCACUAAACACAAAUACUUUGUUUGUAAAUUAUGUCUGAGUGUUGGAGUGUGACCCUGGCUAUCCGUUAAAAAAAAAUUGUGCCGUCUGGUUUGCUUAAUAUAAGGAUUUUUUAAAUGAUUUGUACUUUUAUUUUGAUACUUAAGUAUAUUUUAGCAACUACAUUUACUUUUGAUACUUAAGUAUAUUUAAAACCAAAUACUUUUAGGCUUUUACUCAAGUAGUAUUUUACUGGGUGACUUUCACUUUUACUUGAGUUAUUUUCUAUUAAGGUGUCUUUACUUUUACUCAUGUAUGAGAAUUGAGUACUUUUUCCACCACAGUGCAUUUGUGCGUGUGUUGGAAGAGUUGAAGUUGGAGUUUGAGUCAAGAUUCAAGGAUAUCAUGGACUACUUCAUUGAGACCCCCUUUCAUGUGCCAAUGUCAUCUCUGAAACCAGUCAUCACAGCCCUCUGUCCUGACCGUGCUGGAAUAGAGAGUGAGAUAGUGGAGCUGCUGGCAAAUGACACAUUGCAAGGUGAACUAAGAUCAGGUGUUACCCAUUUCUGGAGCCUUGUCAGACACAGAGUAUCCACUUCUGAAGCAGUGUGUGCAAAACAUUUUUUUUUUGUCAGCACCUAUUCAUGUGAAGCAACAUUAUCAACAAUGAACAUUGUGAAACAAAAACAAAGAAACAGACUGACCAAUGCAAACCUGGAUUGCCUGACAAGGAUAGCAACAACAGACUAUACAUUUAGAAUUAAUUCAGUCAAGGAGCUCAUCCAACUACUGAGGUAACCCUUAACAUGGGUCUUAGGCAUGUGAUGUAGCCUAUUUGAUGCGUGUGCAGUAUGUAUAUAUUUGUGAUGUACAUCAAAUCAAUUGCAUGUGCUCUUUUGUUCUGAAUUUGCUCUCAUUUGAUAAUUGAUAAUUUUGGAAGAAAAAGUACAACAAAUUAAAGAUCUGUGCGGCCCUCUGAAUUCACUGUCUCAACCCAACUUGGCCCCCUUACAAAAAAUUGUGAGUAACACUGAAAUAGGGCUAUCUUCUGUAUACCACCCCUACCUUGUCACAACACAACUGAUUGUCUCAAAUGCAUUAAGAAGGAAAUAAAUUCCACAAAUUAACUUAACAUGGCAAAAUGGUUAAUUGAAAUGGAUUUCAGGUGACUACCUCAUGAAGCUGGUUGAGAGAAUACCAAGAGUGUGCAAAGCUGUCAAGGCAAAAAACCCUUGAAUUAGGUGUGUACAAACUUUUGACUGGUACUGGUACUUGUACUAUAUAUAUAUAUAUAUAUAUAUAUAUAUAUAUAUAUAUAUAUAUACACACAGUUGAAGUCAGAAGUUUACAUCCACUUAGGUCGGAG
rnacentral:lncRNA from 1 species